rnacentral:rRNA from 1 species
ACAGGGAGACAGGUGGUGCAUGGUUGUCGUCAGCUCGUGUCGUGAGAUGUUGGGUUAAGUACCCGCAACGAGCGCAACCCCUACGUUAGUUGCUAACGCGUGAAGGCGAGCACUCUAGACGAACUGCCGUUAGACAAAACGGAGGAAGGUGGGAUGACGUCAAAUCAUCAUGCCCCUUAUGUUCUGGGCUACACACGUGCUACAAUGGCCGGUACAGACGGACGCAAAGCCGCGAGGUGGAGCAAAUCCUAAAAAGCCGGUCUCAGUUCGGAUUGCAGGCUGCAAUUCGCCUGCAUGAAGCCGGAAUCGCUAGUAAUCGCGGAUCAGCAUGCCGCGGUGAAUACGUUCCCGGGCCUU